rnacentral:rRNA from 1 species
GAUGAACGCUGGCGGCGUGCCUAACACAUGCAAGUCGAGCGAACAGACGAGGAUCUUGCCUCGCUUACGUUAGCGGCGGACGGGUGAUUAACACGUGGAUAACCUACCUAUAAGACUGGGAUCACUUCGGGAAACCGGAUCUAAUACCGGACAAUAUAUUGAACCGCAUGGUUCAUUAGUGAAAGACGGUUUUGCUGUCCCUUAUAGAUGGAUCCGCGUCGCAUUAGCUAGUUGGUAAGGUAACGGCUUACCAAGGCAACGCUGCGUAGCCGACCUGAGAGGGUGAGCGGCCACACUGGAACUGAGACACGGUCAAGACGCCUACGGGAGGCAGCAGUAGGGAAUCUUGGGCAAUGGGCGAAAGCCUGAAGAAGCAACGCCGCGUGAGUGAUGAAGGUCUUCGGAUCGUAAAACUCUGUUAUUAGGGAGGAACAAAUGUGUAAGAAACUAUGGAAGUUUUGACGGUACCUAAUCAAGAAGCGACGGCUAACUGCGUG